CGCCACGUAACAUCACAGCGUCACGUGAUAAACACCGUCACGUGGUCUCGAUACAAACUGAAGGAAAAAUCAGUUUAUUCAGUCGCUGUUACCAGAAAUCGCGCACUGUGUAACCGUCAUUAGCAUCUGUGAAGAUGAGGGCGAUGAUGCUGUUGAUGGUGCUGGUAGCUCUGCCUGGUACGGUGUCACUGCUAUGCUAUGGCAAAGGAAUAACAUGCUGGAUGCAGGGUAGACCAGAAAUGCUUAAGCGUACUUGCUGUCAAGGUCUGACAUGUUCAAAAGGUUCUAGUUACAAGAAAUACAUAUGCAGGUGAUUGGAUAUCUAUCUGCCUCUGACAUUUGUAGCGGUCGAAGACGGUCAUCACGAGUAGAAAUUACAGGUGUUUUACUGCUUGCACCUGACUUCAUCACCUGUCGAACGGCUCAGCAAGUGUCGGUGUAAGAGACGAGCUGGAGAAUAUUUCAAAGCACUUGAACUUGUUGGGGAAAACUUGCACGACGGAUUUUUCCAAAUGUCGGUGUCCGCCAUCUUUUUUUGGAUCUCGGGAUACGAUUUCGCCUAUGGCACCUCCCGCUUUACCUUCAGUGAGAAUAAACCAAUUGAGACUUA